AUUGAACGCUGGCGGCAGGCCUAACACAUGCAAGUCGAGCGGAUGAAGGGAGCUUGCUCCUGGAUUCAGCGGCGGACGGGUGGGUAAUGCCUAGGAAUCUGCCUGGUAGUGGGGGAUAACGUCCGGAAACGGGCGCUAAUACCGCAUACGUCCUGAGGGAGAAAGUGGGGGAUCUUCGGACCUCACGCUAUCAGAUGAGCCUAGGUCGGAUUAGCUAGUUGGUGGGGUAAAGGCCUACCAAGGCGACGAUCCGUAACUGGUCUGAGAGGAUGAUCAGUCACACUGGAACUGAGACACGGUCCAGACUACUACGGGAGGCAGCAGUGGGGAAUAUUGGACAAUGGGCGAAAGCCUGAUCCAGCCAUGCCGCGUGUGUGAAGAAGGUCUUCGGAUUGUAAAGCACUUUAAGUUGGGAGGAAGGGCAGUAAGUUAAUACCUUGCUGUUUUGACGUUACCAACAGAAUAAGCACCGGCUAACUUCGUG
rnacentral:rRNA from 1 species